rnacentral:tRNA from 1 species
GGUAGUGGCUCAGUGGUAGAGCGUCUGCCUAGCAGUUUGAGGCCCUGGGUUCAAUUCUCAGCACCA